AAAAUUUGGUGCACACUGAAAAACGCGUGUAGCGGGUUAUUUAACAGUGUGCACCACAUUUUUUAUGUUAUUUCGAAUAGACAGAAAAAAUAUUACAGUCAUUUCUUAUAAUUUAAUUCUAAAUUCUAUUUUAAACCGUUGAAAACCAUGAAAAAACGUUGAUGACGUCACGGUCACAUGACUAAAUUAUGUCUAUGGGCUCAUAACAAAAUAACGUCAGCCAAUCAGAAGACGCGUUACAUCCAAAAUUAAAUUAUUUGUUAAUAUGCCAAUUUGAUUAUUUUCCUAUAUUUGAAUUCUUUUAUAAGCUAUUUGUGUUAUUACAUUGACAAUGUGUUUUAAUGGAAAUAAAUUAAAAGCGCACGGA
rnacentral:lncRNA from 1 species